AGGAUCAUUAACGAGUUAGGGUCUCUCUGGCCCGACCUCCCAACCCUUUGUCUACUCGACCAUCGUUGCUUCGGCGAGCCCGUCCUCACGGACCGCCGGAGGGAUCUUUACUGGCCCUCUGGUCCGCGCUCGUCGGUAGCCCAACCUUUAAAAUCUUUAACUAAACGUGCCUUAAUCUAAGUACAAUUAUUAAAUAAAAGCAAAACUUUCAACAACGGAUCUCUUGGUUCUGGCAUCGAUGAAGAACGCAGCGAAAUGCGAUAAGUAAUGCGAAUUGCAGAAUUCCAGUGAGUCAUCGAAUCUUUGAACGCACAUUGCGCCCUUUGGUAUUCCGAAGGGCAUGCCUGUUCGAGCGUCAUUAUCACCCCUCAAGCCCUCGGCUUGGUGUUGGACGGUUUGGUGGAGGCCCCCUCGGGGGUUCCUGCCCCUCCCAAAGACAAUGACGGCGGCCUCGUUGGACCCCCGGUACACUGAGUUCUUCACGGGACACGUAUCGGACACAUGGGUUUACGGGACACGGUCUGCCUCCCCUCAGGGAGAAUCUUUCUAAGGUUGACCUCGGAUCAGGUAGGGAUACCCGCUGAACUUAAGCAUAUCAAUAAGCGGAGGAAAAGAAACCAACAGGGAUUGCCUCAGUAACGGCGAGUGAAGCGGCAACAGCUCAAAUUUGAAAUCUGGCCUCUUUGGGGUCCGAGUUGUAAUUUGUAGAGGAUGUUUCGGGUACCGCCUCGGUUUAAAUUUCUUGGAACAGAAUGUCAAAGAGGGUGAGAAUCCCGUCUUGGACCGGCGGUAGGGCCCAUGUGAAACUCCUUCGACGAGUCGAGUUGUUUGGGAAUGCAGCUCAAAAUGGGUGGUAAAUUUCAUCUAAAGCUAAAUAUUGGCCAGAGACCGAUAGCGCACAAGUAGAGUGAUCGAAAGAUGAAAAGCACUUUGAAAAGAGAGUUAAACAGUAUGUGAAAUUGUUGAAAGGGAAGCGCUUACAACCAGACUUGCGCGCGGCGGUUCCCCCUUCCUUUUGGUUGGGCUACUCCGUCGUGUCCAGGCCAACAUCGGUUCUGGGGGUCGGUUAAAGACCCUGGGAAUGUAUCUACCCUUCGGGCGUAGACUUAUAGCUCAGGGUGUCAUGCGACCUCCCGGGACCGAGGAACGCGCUUCGGCUCGGAUGUUGGCGUAAUGGUUGUCAGCGACC
rnacentral:rRNA from 1 species